ACCGGAAGGACCCUCCUCCGGUCGAUGAGGAAGCUAAACCUCAUUGACCGGAAGGGAUCCCUUCUGGUCGAUGAGGUUUAGCUUCCUCACUGACCAGAAGGGGUUCCUUCCGGU
rnacentral:miRNA from 1 species